AUGGAGCUGCAGCUGAGCUGGCUUUUCCUUGUUGCUAUUUUUAAAGGUGUCCAGUGUGAGGUACAGCUGGUGGAGUCUGGGUCAGGCUUGGUGGAGCCUGGAGGGGCUCUGAAACUCUCGUGUGCAGCCUCUGGAUUCACUUUCAGUAGCUACUGGAUGAGCUGGGUCCACCAGACUUCAGGAAAGGGGCUGGAGUGGACUGCAGCAAUUAACAAUGGUGGUGGUAACACAUACUACCCAGACUCUGUGAAGGGCAGAUUCACCAUUUCCAGAGACAAUAACAAGAACCAACUAUAUCUGCGGAGCCAUGUAUUACUGUGUAAGAGACACACACAGUGA